AUAUCUGGAAAUAAAAUACAGACAAUGGGAAUUACCUGAUGAUAGCUGUCUUUCACAAAAUAGCUGUUCCCGAGACCUUCUGUGUUGAUGAGUUGAUUAAAACAUACAGUGCUGCUGGGAAGGAACAGCUCAUCCUUGGCAGAUGUUUGAAUUGAUCUCAUUCAAAGCACUUUGGGGAUUAGCUCAAGAGCCGUAAGCUGCCCACCUUUUCCCCAAAGAGCAACUGAUUUAUUGUAGCGCUGUGUAAUAGUUAAUGGGAUAGACUCAUCCAGUGCGCAAUUAUCCUGAGUUGGUAGAUACCUCUCCUAGGCUGCUUAUUAUUUUCAUCCAGCGCUUCCACAGUUCAAAACACACAUGUGGUGAAUGGACAAGAUGGACCUCAUCUUCUCAUGUGUAAAACAUCAACUUUGUCCUUGCUCUUUGAAGUGAAAUAAAUUCAAGUUUAUCCCGUUG